GUGCCAGCCGCCGCGGUAAUACAGAGAGUGCGAACGUUGUUCGGAAUUACUGGGCUUAAAGCGUACGUAGGCGGCGCAACAAGUGUCGGGUGAAAGCCCACGGCUCACCCGUGGAACUGCCCGGCAAACUGUUGUGCUCGAGUGUGGUAGGGGAGAGCGGAACUCCUGGUGGAGCGGUGAAAUGCGUAGAUAUCAGGAGGAACACCGGUGGCGAAGGCGGCUCUCUGGUCCACAACUGACGCUGAGGUACGAAAGCUAGGGUAGCGAACGGGAUUAGAUGCCCCGGUAGUCCUAGCCGUAAACGAUGGGCACUAGCUGGGGGCCUCCCUGUGUGGUUCCAGGUGAAGCAAAAGUGAUAAGUGCCCCGCCUGGGGAGUAUGGUCGCAAGGCUGAAACUUAAAUGAAUUGACGGGG
rnacentral:rRNA from 1 species